rnacentral:rRNA from 1 species
UAACCUGCCCAAGAGAUCGGGAUAACACCUGGAAACAGAUGCUAAUACCGGAUAACAACAGAUGAUGCCUAUCAACUGUUUAAAAGAUGGUUAUGCUAUCACUCUUGGAUGGACCUGCGGUGCAUUAGCUAGUUGGUAGGGUAACGGCCUACCAAGGCGAUGAUGCAUAGCCGAGUUGAGAGACUGAUCGGCCACAUUGGGACUGAGACACGGCCCAAACUCCUACGGGAGGCAGCAGUC